rnacentral:rRNA from 1 species
GACGAACGCUGGCGGCGUGCCUAAUACAUGCAAGUCGAGCGGAGCUCUUCGGAGCUUAGCGGCGAACGGGUGAGUAACACGUGGGCAACCUGCCCUCAAGACAGGAAUAACACCGGGAAACCGGUGCUAAUACCAGAUAAUCGAACUCUACACCUGUGGGAUUCGUAAAAGACUUCGGUCACUUGAGGAUGGGCCCGCGGCGCAUUAGCUAGUUGGUAGGGUAACGGCCUACCAAGGCGACGAUGCGUAGCCGACCUGAGAGGGUGACCGGCCACACUGGGACUGAGACACGGCCCAGGACUCCUACGGGAGGCUG